rnacentral:sRNA from 1 species
AAUCGCGCCCCGCGCAUGCUUCUUGGCCCCGUGUCCCGCUCCUUUACCCUGCGGGUUCGAGCUCCUUGGGCUGAGCUCUUUGGUUUCCUUGGGCUUUCCUUGUGCCCCAGGGAGCAGGCAGGGGGACCAGCACACAACCACCUGGAGCCUCCGUGGCCCAGGCAGACCCAGCCGAAACCCUGUGUGCGUUGGUGUAGAAGGUGGAGGCCACUCUGGAGCCACCCGGACCGUGUUUUCCUUUCUAGAGGGAACUCUGACAGCAUCCCACCUGGCUACGAGCCCAUCUCGCUGCUCGAGGCGCUCAACGGCCUCCGGGCUGUCUCCCCGGCCAUCCCCUCGGCCCCUCUUUAUGAAGAAAUCACCUAUUCAGGCAUCUCGGACGGCCUGUCCCAGGCCAGCUGUCCCCUCGCGGCUAUCGACCACAUCCUGGACAGCAGCCGCCAGAAGGGCAGGCCGCAGAGCAAGGCCCCCGACAGCACCCUACGGUCCCCGUCUUCCCCCAUCCACGAAGAGGAUGAGGAGAAGCUCUCCGAGGACGUGGACGCCCCUCCCCCACUGGGU